UGCCAGCCGCCGCGGUAAUACGGAGGGUGCAAGCGUUAAUCGGAAUUACUGGGCGUAAAGCGCUCGUAGGCGGUUGAUUAAGUCGGAUGUGAAAGCCCAGGGCUUAACCUUGGAACUGCAUUCGAUACUGGUCAGCUAGAGUACAGUAGAGGCAAGUGGAAUUUCCUGUGUAGCGGUGAAAUGCGUAGAUAUAGGAAGGAACAUCAGUGGCGAAGGCGACUUGCUGGACUGAUACUGACGCUGAGGAGCGAAAGCGUGGGGAGCGAACGGGAUUAGAUA
rnacentral:rRNA from 1 species